rnacentral:lncRNA from 1 species
AUGGCCGUGAGGGCGGUGUGUUUGGCUGCUGUCCUCUCAGAAGCCAGGGAAUUGGGCACUCUUCCGGUGCCUGGUCUCUGGGACCCCUCCCUCUUGCCCUUGGCCUCUCUUUCUUUCUGUCCCUUCCAGGUCUUGAUCUUCAGAGUUCCCGCUCCGGGGAGAACUGAUAGGUGGUGGUGCUGUUGGGGGAUGGCUGGAUCAGACACCCAGACACCUCGUCCCCUCGGCGUCACAUUCCAGCAGGGGACGGGCAGCUUCCUUCUUCCCUGCCUGAGGGGGCCUGGACCUGAGUUUCUUACGACUCGUGCAGUCCGGCUGAAUUUUGUAGUGCAUGAUCAAGAACUGUUGAGCAUUUCACACGGGUGGAAGCAGCGGAGCCCAAAGGCCUUGCGAAGAGGAGUCAGGGAACUCAGAGGGUUCUUCCUGGCUCCUGAGCCGCUGGUGCUUGGAUGCAGCCCCAGGACCUAGAGACGUGCUGCUGCCGCGCCUCACGGAAGCCCAGUGCCCACGGGCAUCGGGGUCGGUUACCCAGCUAUUCAGAAUACCUUCCCUGGUGAGGAAAGCAGGGCCGUUCCCUCUUCAGCUUUAUCCACAUGGUAUGUCGCGUUUAGGCACCAGGCCAGUCGCCACGUGCCCAGAGAGCCAAAUGAGAAGGCUGGCGUCUGCCUUACCAUACAGAAGAAACACUAGGCCUAGCCAGUGAUCCCUUUGCUUUUGAUUGUAUAGAAAAUGCUGUUGCCCUUUCUGUCGUUUCCAGUGACUUGUGUUUUCUAAGCACUUUUGCUAUAGAUUGAGUCUUUCCUAGGGAGCAGACCGGAGGGGCUGGCUUGAGCCCUUACUGAAAAUGUUUAUUCUGGUCUGCUCUGGUGAGUCUGGAGGUAUCACAUUCCCAGGCCUCCUUUGGGAGUGGCUUGGUGUGGGGAGCCUUGGGCAAGUUCUGGUUUACUACAUAGUACACAUGGUAAAUGGCCUUAAACUGCUUCUUUGUGGUAUGACGAGUUCUAAUAAACUGACCCUAGAGAAUGCA